GAGGAGCUUGCUCUUCUUGGAUGAGUUGCGAACGGGUGAGUAACGCGUAGGUAACCUGCCUUGUAGCGGGGGAUAACUAUUGGAAACGAUAGCUAAUACCGCAUAACAAUGGAUGACCCAUGUCAUUUAUUUGAAAGGGGCAAAUGCUCCACUACAAGAUGGACCUGCGUUGUAUUAGCUAGUAGGUGAGGUAACGGCUCACCUAGGCGACGAUACAUAGCCGACCUGAGAGGGUGAUCGGCCACACUGGGACUGAGACACGGCCCAGACUCCUACGGGAGGCAGCAGUAGGGAAUCUUCGGCAAUGGGGGCAACCCUGACCGAGCAACGCCGCGUGAGUGAAGAAGGUUUUCGGAUCGUAAAGCUCUGUUGUAAGUCAAGAACGAGUGUGAGAGUGGAAAGUUCACACUGUGACGGUAGCUUACCAGAAAGGGACGGCUAACUACGUGCCAGCAGCCGCGGUAAUACGUAGGUCCCGAGCGUUGUCCGGAUUUAUUGGGCGUAAAGCGAGCGCAGGCGGUUUGAUAAGUCUGAAGUUAAAGGCUGUGGCUCAACCAUAGUUCGCUUUGGAAACUGUCAAACUUGAGUGCAGAAGGGGAGAGUGGAAUUCCAUGUGUAGCGGUGACAUGCGUAGAUAUAUGGAGGAACCACGGUGGCGA
rnacentral:rRNA from 1 species